rnacentral:lncRNA from 1 species
CUAUUCGUCAAUAAAAUAAUAAAUAAACAGUGUGUCUCAUCCUGUUCUGGACUUGAAAUUGGUACAUAAAAAAAAAAUUGCCGAUUUUAAUUGAUAUUUUAACCAGAUGCUUUGCAGGGCGCAGCUAUAUACGACCACAAAGGUUGAACCCUGAACAGUUGGGGCAAGUAUGGACACAACAUUUAAGCUGGAUUCAGCUCUAAAUUUGGAUUGUGAUUAAAUAGUUGACACAGCAUAGGUUUCUGACACAGAAUGAAUGUGGUCUAAUGAAUUUAAAAUAUUUUUUUUGCCUUUGAGCAAUUCACUAUGCUGUUGAAUAUUAAUCCUCUCAAAAAAAUGUUUGAAGAAAUUUUCUUUUUUAUUUAUGAAAUCUGAAAUGAGAAAAAUUUACCCCCCCCCCCCAAUUAUUUUUUCACAUCCCCCUUUUCCUUUUUUCAAAACUGAUCUCAAUACAAAUUCCUAAUGGAGUUUGCAACAAUAACUACU